rnacentral:rRNA from 1 species
UACGGAGGGGGCUAGCGUUGUUCGGAAUUACUGGGCGUAAAGCGCGCGUAGGCGGACCUGCAAGUCGGGGGUGAAAGCCCGAGGCUCAACCUCGGAACUGCCUUCGAUACUGCGGGUCUCGAGUCCGGGAGAGGUGAGUGGAAUUCCUAGUGUAGAGGUGAAAUUCGUAGAUAUUAGGAAGAACACCAGUGGCGGAAGGCGGCUGCACUGGCCCGGUACUGACGCUGAGGCGCGAAAGCGUGGGGAGCAAACAGG